CUCUCUCUCUCUCUCUCUCUCUCUCUCUCUCUCAUAUAUAUAUAUAUAUAUAUAUAUAUAUAUAUAUAUAUAUAUAUAUACAUUUAUACAUAGAGAGAGAGAGAGGCGGUUGGGGGAGAAUCCA